rnacentral:rRNA from 1 species
UACGGGGGGGGGCAAGCGUUGUUCGGAAUUACUGGGCGUAAAGGGCUCGUAGGUGGCCAACUAGGUCAGACGUGAAAUCCCUCAGCUUAACUGGGGAACUGCGUCUGAUACUGGAUGGCUUGAGUUUGGGAGAGGGAUGCGGAAUUCCAGGUGUAGCGGUGAAAUGCGUAGAUAUCUGGAGGAACACCGGUGGCGAAAGCGACUUCCUGGACCAAUACUGACGCUCAUGUGCGAAAGCGUGGGGGAGCAAACAGG